CUUAUACAUCCUUUUGAAUGUGUUAUAUGACUAUGAAAGCAUUAGAGUAACAAACUGUCAUUGUCCUUUCACAGUACAUACCUAGGGAUUUGCCCACACAUGAGGGUCCUUCAACCUCAGCACACAAUCUGCAGGUUGCCAGCAAAGGAGCUGUAUAAGGUCCAUCUUCAAAAACAAAUAAGAAAAAGUGACAUGGAGAUGUACCUUAUACAGCUUCAAAUGGAAGAGAAAAGGCUCCUCAUUAAAAAAGUAGCACUUGAAAUUGAAUUACUGGAGCAUCGCCUUAAGG